UACGAGGGGGGGCAAGCGUUGUUCGGAAUUAUUGGGCGUAAAGGGUGCGUAGGCGGUCUGAUAAGUCAUCUGUGAAAUCUAUGGGCUCAACCCAUAGUCUGCAGGCGAAACUGUCGGGCUUGAGUAUGGGAGAGGUGAGUGGAAUUUCCGGUGUAGCGGUGAAAUGCGUAGAUAUCGGAAGGAACACCUGUGGCGAAAGCGGCUCACUGGACCAUUACUGACGCUGAUGCACGAAAGCUAGGGGGAGCAAACAGG
rnacentral:rRNA from 1 species